rnacentral:rRNA from 1 species
AUCUAUGGCCAUACCACCCUGAAUGCGCCCGAUCUCGUCGGAUCUUGGAAGCUAAGCAGGGUCAGACCUGGUUAGUACUUGGGUGAGAGACUGCCUGGGAAUACCAGGUGCUAUAGGCU